UACGGGGGGGGCAAGCGUUGUUCGGAAUUACUGGGCGUAAAGGGCUCGUAGGCGGCCAACUAAGUCAGACGUGAAAUCCCUCGGCUUAACCGGGGAACUGCGUCUGAUACUGGAUGGCUAGAGGUUGGGAGAGGGAUGCGGAAUUCCAGGUGUAGCGGUGAAAUGCGUAGAUAUCUGGAGGAACACCGGUGGCGAAGGCGGCAUCCUGGACCAAUUCUGACGCUGAGGAGCGAAAGCCAGGGGAGCAUACGGG
rnacentral:rRNA from 1 species